GCUAAACGCGAAGAACCUUACCAAGGCUUGACAUACACGAGAACAUCCCAGAAAUGGGGGACUCUUUGGACACUCGUGAACAGGUGGUGCAUGGUUGUCGUCAGCUCGUGUCGUGAGAUGUUGGGUUAAGUCCCGCAACGAGCGCAACCCUCGUUCUAUGUUGCCAGCACGUAAUGGUGGGAACUCAUGGGAUACUGCCGGGGUCAACUCGGAGGAAGGUGGGGAUGACGUCAAAUCAUCAUGCCCCUUAUGUCUUGGGCUUCACGCAUGCUACAAUGGCCGGUACAAAGGGCUGCAAUACCGUGAGGUGGAGCGAAUCCCAAAAAGCCGGUCCCAGUUCGGAUUGAGGUCUGCAACUCGACCUCAUGAAGUCGGAGUCGCUAGUAAUCGCAGAUCAGCAACGCUGCGGUGAAUACGUUCCCGGGUCUUGUACACACCG
rnacentral:rRNA from 1 species